UAGGGAAUAUUGGACAAUGGGUGAGAGCCUGAUCCAGCCAUGCCGCGUGCAGGAAGAAGGCGUUAUGCGUUGUAAACUGCUUUUUGCCAGGGGAUAAAAAGACCGUGCGCGGUUAAUUGAAGGUACCUGGUGAAUAAGCCACGGCUAACUACGUGCCAGCAGCCGCGGUAAUACGUAGGUGGCAAGCGUUGUCCGGAUUUAUUGGGUUUAAAGGGUGCGUAGGUGGCCCUGUAAGUCAGUGGUGAAAUAUCUCAGCUUAACUGAGAGGGUGCCAUUGAUACUGCAGGGCUUGAGUACAGAUGAGGUAGGCGGAAUUGACGGUGUAGCGGUGAAAUGCAUAGAUAUCGUCAAGAACACCGAUAGCGAAGGCAGCUUACCAAGCUGUAACUGACACUGAGGCACGAAAGUGUGGGGAUCAAACAGGAUUAGAUACCCCCGUAGUCCCUGAGCGGGCUGGCAAGGCGCAU
rnacentral:rRNA from 1 species